UACAGGGGGUGCAAACGUUGCUCGGAAUUAUUGGGCGUAAAGCGCGCGUAGGCGGCUACCUAAGUCGGAUGUGAAAGCCCCUGGCUCAACUGGGGAAGUGCAUCCGAAACUGAGUAGCUAGAGUACGAAAGAGGGUCGCGGAAUUCCCGGUGUAGAGGUGAAAUUCGUAGAUAUCGGGAGGAACACCGGUGGCGAAGGCGGCGUCCUGGCUCGCAUCUGACGCUCAGACACGACAGCAUGGGGAGCGAACGGG
rnacentral:rRNA from 1 species